AACAGAUAAGGAGCUUGCUCCUUUGACGUUAGCGGCGGACGGGUGAGUAACACGUGGGUAACCUACCUAUAAGACUGGGACAACUUCGGGAAACCGGAGCUAAUACCGGAUAAUAUGUUGAACCGCAUGGUUCAAUAGUGAAAGAUGGUUUUGCUAUCACUUAUAGAUGGACCCGCGCCGUAUUAGCUAGUUGGUGAGGUAACGGCUCACCAAGGCAACGAUACGUAGCCGACCUGAGAGGGUGAUCGGCCACACUGGAACUGAGACACGGUCCAGACUCCUACGGGAGGCAGCAGUAGGGAAUCUUCCGCAAUGGGCGAAAGCCUGACGGAGCAACGCCGCGUGAGUGAUGAAGGUCUUAGGAUCGUAAAACUCUGUUAUUAGGGAAGAACAAACGUGUAAGUAACUGUGCACGUCUUGACGGUACCUAAUCAGAAAGCCACGGCUAACUACGUGCCAGCAGCCGCGGUAAUACGUAGGUGGCAAGCGUUAUCCGGAAUUAUUGGGCGUAAAGCGCGCGUAGGCGGUUUUUUAAGUCUGAUGUGAAAGCCCACGGCUCAACCGUGGAGGGUCAUUGGAAACUGGAAAACUUGAGUGCAGAAGGGGAAAGUGGAAUUCCAUGUGUAGCGGUGAAAUGCGCAGAGAUAUGGAGGAACACCAGUGGCGAAGGCGACUUUCUGGUCUGUAACUGACGCUGAUGUGCGAGAGCGUGGGGAUCAAACAGGAUUAGAUACCCUGGUAGUCCACGCCGUAAACGAUGAGUGCUAAGUGUUAGGGGGUUUCCGCCCCUUAGUGCUGCAGCUGAACGCAUUAAGCAC
rnacentral:rRNA from 1 species